CGUGUCGGCCGGAUCAUCGCCUUGUCGAAAGGCAGGGAGGAAAGUCCGAACUCCACAGGGUAUCGUACUUCCUAACAGGAAGGCAUCGUAAUUUCGAUGACGGCAAGUGCAACAGAAAGUAUACCAGCCGAUGGACCUACCAAGUCCAGGUGAUGGGUGAAAUGGUGUGGGUAAGAGCCCACCAGCGCCAUGGGAGACCUUGGCGGCUAGGUAAACCCUACGAGGAGCAAGGCCAAACAGUGUCGCACGCGCAAGCGAUAAGGUGACCCGCCGAACUGCGAUGCGGGUAGGUUGCCAGAGGCCAAUGGUGACAUUGGUCCUAGAUAGAUGAUGAUCCUUCCGGCUUCGCUGCAUGGUGGACGCAGCACCGGAUGACAGAAUUCGGCUUAUAGGUCAGCACGUACC
rnacentral:RNase_P_RNA from 1 species